UUCAUUCAGAAUGGUCGACCCGCUUGCCGCUCGGUACGAAUCAAACCCAAAUGUCUGCAUGUGGGGCUGGUCCCUGCCGGAGACUCGGGAGAUGAGGCUCCUCAGGGUACCGUGUGUGCUGGCUUUCCAGGGAGAAAUUUUGUAGGAAGAAGUCUUUGGGUUGGAGGAAAGCUUUGGGGUUCACUUUAAACUGGAAGCAAGAUGGACGACGGCACAGAGGGAUGGAGGCCCCCAUCGGUGCAGGUAGAGAGGAACUGGGCGCGCAGCCUGCCACCUCCCUCCUCUGCCUCUCAAGAGCCACCCGCCGGCAAAGAGCACAUGCUGGUGGCCACUCCUGGGCCUGAGUGGCCCACUGCGGGAAGGCUGCAGAGAUCCCGCAUCCCGUGCCUGGUGGGGCGAGUCCCGAGACAUCUACUUCCCCUGGGCGUGACUGAAAGAGACCAAGCUGAUACACAAGAAGGUUGACUUUCUUCCAAACUCUGCCUGUCCUCCAACUCUCACCGCCUUUAACACGUGAAUUGCUGUCGAUCAGAACUCUUGACGGUCUCCUGUCAUGUGAGUGUGUCUGAUGUGCCAGGCCCUGGCCACCUGUGGGCGUGGUCCCAGGUAAGUAGUAGUCCCCACGUCACACACAGGAAAAUGGAGACUCGGAGUGAGGAAGGACCCUGCUGACUGUGGUGGGCAGCCUCUGACCCCCAAACCCACAGCGCUCCACAUGGCAGUUUCUCAAGCUCAGGUGGGCCCAUUCCAAUGCCUACUCUGGAAGGUGUUGUGUUCAUCUCAACAAAAGUACAACUUCUCCAAGUAGGAAGGUGCAGCCUGCUUGAUGCAAACCCAGGACAUAAGGGGAUGGCACGUGCAACAUAAAGGUUUCCAAAGAUCUCAACAAAUACUUCCUGAAUGAGCAGAUAAGGAAGGCCCUUCAGCAUGAUUCAAAUCUCAAAGGUUAAAUUCUUAACCAACACCCACGAGACAGUUAUCUCUCUGAGGUUAGAAGCCACCCUUGUAUUGAACACGGUAAUAUGCACCAGUGUUUAGUGUUCAGAAAACAGCCAACACAUCACAGUCACCUGUUAGUCAGCUGUUUCCCUGACGCACCCCACGUCCAGGUGACACUGUGUAGAAAGUCAUUCUGAGAAAUGAGGCACACCCAGCUUUCCUAGUGUGCACGAGCUGAUCAGACACACCCCCCGUCCGACCUCCCUAGCCCCCAACAGCACAUUCUCACCAAACAGAGUCAAGUGCAAAGCUUCCCGACUGUGGGCCUGAUAAAGCCGUUCAGUAUCUCCGAACCUAAGGACAGAGUUGUGCAAAGGGGCAGGAAUGCCCACAGUUCACCGCCUCCCACAGCCUUCCCCGCCAAACUACUCUGCAGUGGUGUGGACUCUGCAAGGCUUACUUCACAUCUGCACUAUCGGACAGAUCUUGCAAAGUGGUGAGUGUGACCUACAAACGAGAGGGAUGUACUAUCGGGGCAUCUCUGAGAACAGUGAGGGGAAAUACCUCCUACCCGCACGCACCUCUGACCUCACUACGCUCGAGGUUCCCACACACGGCUGGAGGGAAGCAGCCACUAGGUUGAGCGCACACACAGUCACGAGCCGGUGUCUUGAGCAUCACUCUGCUGUUUGUGUGCACACGCUCACGACACCUCCCAA